CAGAGGAUCUUCCAACACACCCCUUCUUGGAGUGUGUGCGGAGAUUCCUCCCUGGAGUGGGGACACCCCUCAAGGUCGCUCCUCAAGGCUGAGCCAAAGAGAUUUGCCCAUGGUCAUUGGUCUGGGUGAGUAACAUCAACCUCUAUUUAAUAAUUGGUUUGGGUUAAAU